GUUGUAACUAAUGUUGCAACAAACGAGAACCGAGUAUAGUUCAUGGGUAUAGCAUGAAUUGUUUAACUGUCCUCUAGGAUUCCCGUCCUAUGGCAGUCGGUUC
rnacentral:antisense_RNA from 5 species